rnacentral:rRNA from 1 species
CUCAAAUGAAUUGACGGGGGCCCGCACAAGCGGUGGAGCAUGUGGUUUAAUUCGAUGCAACGCGAAGAACCUUACCUACUCUUGACAUCCAGAGAAGUUUGCAGAGAUGCGAACGUGCCUUCGGGAACUCUGAGACAGGUGCUGCAUGGCUGUCGUCAGCUCGUGUUGUGAAAUGUUGGGUUAAGUCCCGCAACGAGCGCAACCCUUAUCCUUUGUUGCCAGCGGUUCGGCCGGGAACUCAAAGGAGACUGCCAGUGAUAAACUGGAGGAAGGUGGGGAUGACGUCAAGUCAUCAUGGCCCUUACGAGUAGGGCUACACACGUGCUACAAUGGCAUAUACAAAGAGAAGCGACCUCGCGAGAGCAAGCGGACCUCAUAAAGUAUGUCGUAGUCCGGAUUGGAGUCUGCAACUCGACUCCAUGAAGUCGGAAUCGCUAGUAAUCGUGGAUCAGAAUGCCACGGUGAAUACGUUCCCGGGCCUUGUACACACCGCCCGUCACACCAUGGGAGUGGGUUGCAAAAGAAGUAGGUAGCUUAACCUUCGGGAGGGCGCUUACCACUUUGUGAUUCAUGACUGGGGUGAAGUCGUAACAAGGUAAC